ACGGGUGAGUAACGCGUAUCCAACCUGCCCAUCACUUGGGGAUAACCUUGCGAAAGUAAGACUAAUACCCAAUGAUAUCUCUAGAAGACAUCUGAAGGAGAUUAAAGAUUUAUCGGUGAUGGAUGGGGAUGCGUCUGAUUAGCUUGUUGGCGGGGUAACGGCCCACCAAGGCGACGAUCAGUAGGGGUUCUGAGAGGAAGGUCCCCCACAUUGGAACUGAGACACGGUCCAAACUCCUACGGGAGGCAGCAGUGAGGAAUAUUGGUCAAUGGGCGAGAGCCUGAACCAGCCAAGUAGCGUGCAGGAUGACGGCCCUAUGGGUUGUAAACUGCUUUUAUAAGGGAAUAAAGUGAGUCUCGUGAGACUUUUUGCAUGUACCUUAUGAAUAAGGACCGGCUAAUUCCGUGCCAGCAGCCGCGGUAAUACGGAAGGUCCGGGCGUUAUCCGGAUUUAUUGGGUUUAAAGGGAGCGUAGGCCGGAGAUUAAGCGUGUUGUGAAAUGUAGACGCUCAAUGUCUGCACUGCAGCGCGAACUGGUUUCCUUGAGUACGCACAAGGUGGGCGGAAUUCGUGGUGUAGCGGUGAAAUGCUUAGAUAUCACGAAGAACUCCGAUUGCGAAGGCAGCUCACUGGAGCGCAACUGACGCUGAAGCUCGAAAGUGCGGGUAUCGAACAGGAUUAGAUACCCUGGUAGUCCGCACGGUAAACGAU
rnacentral:rRNA from 1 species